rnacentral:rRNA from 1 species
GACGAACGCUGGCGGCGUGCUUAACACAUGCAAGUCGAACGGAAAGGCCUCUUUCGGGGGGUACUCGAGUGGCGAACGGGUGAGUAACACGUGAGUAACCUGCCCUUGACUUUGGGAUAACUUCAGGAAACUGGGGCUAAUACCGGAUAGGAGCUCCUGCUGCAUGGUGGGGGUUGGAAAGUUUCGGCGGUUGGGGAUGGACUCGCGGCUUAUCAGCUUGUUGGUGGGGUAGUGGCUUACCAAGGCGUUGCCGGGUAGCCGGCCUGAGAGGGUGACCGGCCACACUGGGACUGAGAGACGGCCCAGACGCCGACGGGAGGCAGAAGUGGGGAAUAUUGAACAAGGGGUGGAAGCCGGAUGCAGCAACGCCGUGUGCGGGAUGACGGCCUUAGGGUUGUAAACCGCUUUCGCUCAUGACGAAGCUUUGUGUGACGGUAGUGGGUAAAGAAGCACCGGCUAACUACGUG